AGUUCCAUAGCUUAGCGGUUAGAGCACUGGCCUUAUAAGCCAGGGGUUAAUGAGUUCAAGUCUCACUGUGGCCU
rnacentral:tRNA from 1 species